rnacentral:rRNA from 1 species
CCUACGGGGGGCAGCAGUGGGGGAUAUUGCACAAUGGAGGAAACUCUGAUGCAGCAACGCCGCGUGAGGGAAGAAGGUCUUCGGAUUGUAAACCUCUGUCCUCAGGGACGAUAAUGACGGUACCUGAGGAGGAAGCUCCGGCUAACUACGUGCCAGCAGCCGCGGUAAUACGUAGGGAGCAAGCGUUGUCCGGAUUUACUGGGUGUAAAGGGUGCGUAGGCGGCCCUGCAAGUCAGGUGUGAAAACUAUGGGCUUAACUCAUAGAUUGCACUUGAAACUGUGGCGUUUGAGUGAAGUAGAGGUCUGCGGAAUUCCCGGUGUAGAGGUGAAAUGCGUAGAGAUCGGGAUGAACACCAGUGGAGAAGGCGGCCGGCUGGUCUUUAACUGCCGCUGGGGGACGAAAGCGUGGGUAGCAAACAGGCUUAGAUACCCUAGUAGCC